UACGUAGGGGGCGAGCGUUGUCCGGAAUGAUUGGGCGUAAAGGGCGCGUAGGCGGCCUGUCAAGUCAGUAGUGGAAGUCCAUCUUUCAAGGAUGGAAGUGCUACAGAAACUGAUGGGCUUGAGUGCAGGAGAGGUUAUCGGAAUUCCCGGUGUAGCGGUGAAAUGCGUAGAGAUCGGGAGGAACACCAGUGGCGAAGGCGGGUAACUGGACUGCAACUGACGCUGAGGCGCGAAAGUGUGGGGAGCAAACAGGAUUAGAUACCCCGGUAGU
rnacentral:rRNA from 1 species